UUUUGUGUAUCACUGAUUUGUGUGAGCAGAUGUGAUCCCUUCCGACUCCCUACGACCCUAUAUUCUUACUCUAUUCUACGACCCCACCAUUAUAUUAUUAUGCUUAUGAAUCACUCGCCGUUGCAGCUGUUGUUAAUGUGCACCUUUCAAUGCGUGCUGUUACUCGUUGUUGACAAUUCCUUUAUACGUUACUCACGUAAAACUAGAUAUUCUCUCUCGAACAAAAAUAAUGGUUUUUGGUGUACUCGUAUAUUAUACUUCAAAAAAUUAUCUUGUGAUUCGACGAAUCCUGAAGUGGCAAAUUUUUACAAAUACAACAAAAAACUUCAGAAGUAUGUGGUGUCAGCAUCGACAGCGUUAUUAAAAGAAUAAUAUUCGAAGCUACUAAAGUCCCCUUAAAUCAAGUAACUGAAGAACCAACAUUUACUUAUAGAUAGCCGACUAUGUAUAGACUAUGCAUACACAUAUGUUGCCUGGUCACCAUAUGCAGGUUGGGCAAUGUUUACAAAAUAUGGAUGUUUUAAUCCUCGUGAUAUCAAUCAAAAUUCAAAUUAUUUUUUGUUUAACGAUAAACUUUCGUAACUCGAGAGUCAUCUUAUGUUUUGCUGUAACUUUGCUGAAUUAUAUUUAUUGUACAGUUUUUGUAUCCAAACACAUGGUGUGCACCCGUAGUGUACAUUUGUGUACAAAUCGGUCAAAAUCAGGACCUCGAAAACUACACUUUUUCUCAUCAGUUCUAAUAUUAUCAAGCAGUAAGUCUAUAAUGAACUGGACUUCAUCAAUCAAUGCAGAACCAAGCAUAUUUAGUGAAGUUAUGGACUAUCUGAAAACUUAAAUUCCAGAAGAUAAACACUGCAAUUUAUGUUUAGAUUCCAUGUCUUUAAGAAAACAAAUUUUAUGGAGUGAUAAAUUUAAUAAAUUUAUUGGUUAUUGUGAUUUUGGUGGUGAAUUACAACUUGAGGGUACAGAUACUACUGCGACAGAGGCUCUAUUUUUUAUGCUUGUCUAAAUGAUGCUUGUCAUAACCUAAAAUUAGCCAGAAACAUACUUGGUUAUUGCAAUUACCACGGGAUUUAUUCGUUGGCAACAUUUAUCAAAUUUACAUGAAAUACAGCAAGAAACUAAGGUAAAAUUUGCUAAUAACUCUCAAAUUCUCAUGUUAAAUGGCAUAAUAAUAAAAUGAAAGUAUCUUAUGCUGCUUAGACUCUUUCUGCAUUCACAGCAACUGCAUUAAAUUUUUAAAUCAACAAGUUUCAAAAUUUGAAAAUAGAAAGGCAACUACAGAGUAUUGCCAAGUGCUUGACUAGAUAUUUGACUUAAAAUCUAUAUUCUCUUCUCUAAAAAUUAUAAAUCUCCAAUUACUAAAAACAACAUUCUUGAUCUAGAAAAUAAAAUUAUUCCAUUCGAUAAAUAUUUGUAUAGUAUAGGUACUUUGAAAUUCAAUGAUCAACUUUUACAUGUAACAAAUAAAAAAACAUUUAUUUACGGUUUUGCCAUUGCCGUUAAAUUACUACUCAGUAUAGCAAGAUCAAUAUUUGUAAAUGAUUUUAUACAUUUUAGUUAUAUCCUUAUUUAUACAUUUUCACAACCUCACCUAGAACUAUUACUUGAGCAAAUCAGACAAAGUGGUGGCUCAAAUAAUAAUUCAAAUGUGGUGCACCUAAAAAUUGCUAUUAAACAAAUUUUAAUAAAAAAUGUAUUUAAAUUAAAAAAUAAUGGCAACUAUAACACGUUUGAUGACGAUGUAAUGUUCAGAAUUUUAGACUUUAAGUGGAAUAAGAAAGAGCAAUUUAAUGACAACUGUCAAAUGAGUGAAGCUGAUCAAGAUAUUUUAAAUAGAUUUCAAUUAAUUAACAAUAUAAGUCCUUCUUUACAAAGUGCUAAGGAAAAUAUUUUAUACUACAUAUUAGGAUAUAUUAUUUUAAAAAUAAUUAAAAUACUUAAUUGUGAUUUUUGUGUAAAAAGUCUUUUCAAAGAAACAUCAGACCAUAAUUAUUGUUCAUCAACAUAGGGUAAAUUUGUAAAUUUAAGACAAAGUGAUGGCUCAAUUUUAAGUUAGGAAAUUUCUUUUAAAAUUAUAAUGGAGACUGAAAAAAUCCUUUUAAAUUUAACAAAUAAUCUAACAAACCUUAUAACAUACCUAAUUUAAAUAAAAAAUAAUGUAUCAAUGUACUAGUAAGUUAUGUC